UACGUAGGGUGCAAGCGUUAAUCGGGAUUACUGGGCGUAAAGCGUGCGCAGGCGGUUCGGAAAGAAAGAUGUGAAAUCCCAGGGCUUAACCUUGGAACUGCAUUUUUAACUGCCGGGCUAGAGUAUGUCAGAGGGGGGUAGAAUUCCACGUGUAGCAGUGAAAUGCGUAGAGAUGUGGAGGAAUACCGAUGGCGAAGGCAGCCCCCUGGGAUAAUACUGACGCUCAUGCACGAAAGCGUGGGGAGCAAACAGG
rnacentral:rRNA from 1 species